GCGGCAAUAAUAUAAUGGUUAGUAUUGCGCCUUCCCAAGGCGCUAAUCCGGGUUCGACUCCCGGUUGCCGCA
rnacentral:tRNA from 1 species